rnacentral:miRNA from 1 species
AUAUAUAUGUAUAUAUAUGUAUGUAUGUGUGUGUGUGUGUGUGUGUAUAUAUAUAUAUACACACACACACACACACACACACACACACACACAUAUA